ensembl:snRNA U6 U6 spliceosomal RNA
GAGCUCACUUUGCCAGCACAUAUAAUGAAACUGGAAUAAUAUGGAGAAGACUAGCAUGGCCACUGCAC